AAUCCGGCAAAGGUUUCGGGACAACAGUUGGAAACGACUGCUAAUACCGGAUGUGCCUGUGGGUGAAAGAUUAAUCGCCUUUUGAUGAGCUCGCGUCUGAUUAGCUAGUUGGUGUGGUAAGAGCGCACCAAGGCGACGAUCAGUAGCUGGUCUGAGAGGAUGACCAGUCACACUGGGACUGAGACACGGCCCAGACUCCUACGGGAGGCAGCAGUGGGGAAUUUUCCGCAAUGGGCGAAAGCCUGACGGAGCAAUACCGCGUGAGGGAGGAAGGCUCUUGGGUUGUAAACCUCUUUUCUCAGGGAAUAAGAAAGUGAAGGUACCUGAGGAAUCAGCAUCGGCUAACUCCGUGCCAGCAGCCGCGGUAAUACGGAGGAUGCGAAGCGUUAUCCUGGCAAUGUAUUGGGCUGUCAAAGAGUCCCGCACAGGUUGUGGUUUGUCUUUCCC
rnacentral:rRNA from 1 species